ACCUUUAAAAAGACUUAUAUUUAGGAACGGAGGGAGUAUCAAGCAUGGCAUGUACUCCAUCUCUCCUGGUUUGUAGGAUCUCACCGAUGCAGAGACACACAUUCAGUCUAACUCCCGCGUGUUCGUCAAACCCCCCUGCUUCCUCGCUGCAGCAGCCCAGCCACUCCGGGCCCAUCGAGUGCGAUCGCGUUUCCCGUACCGAUCGAUGGCCGUCGACGACAAUGUGCUACCCCCGCCGCCGGCGCCGAUCGUCGCCGCGGUGCUGGCGCUCAUGCGCUCCGCCCUCGCGCCGAUGCUGGCGGUCGGGCGCGUCCUCCGCGUCGCGGCCAGAGCCUUCCCCUUCCUGACGUUCGCGGUCUCGUGGGCUAUCUCCGCGGCCUCGGCUGCCAAGAUCGUGGCGCGCCGCGCCUGGGGCGAGGGCUCCGCCACCUUCCUCUUCCUCCAGGCGUUCACGUCCGCUGCCUGCAAGGUCUCCACCUACAGCUUCCUUGUCCUGCUCGCGCUCGCCGUCCUGCUCUUGUGCGGCCUGUGCGUGG
rnacentral:lncRNA from 1 species